AUGGAGCUCCGCGCUUCCUCUUGCUUAAGACAUGCUGGAUCUUCGCUUAUACUUCAAAAAAUUGAACGAAUCAUGCAUGCAUGUAAACAGAAAUCAUGAUGUAAAUUUUCUAAUCUAAAUUCUGAAUUUGAAUCAGAGUUGAUUGUUAACUCUGAAUCUUUCAGACCUCAUGGGUUACUCCCAAGUAAGUGUGAAGCCACAGUACGUGUUUAAAAAUCUUACAGGUGCCAAGUUAACUUAUAUGAUAUUGAUUAGUUAGAUGGACUCUGCAUCAUCCUAGAACACCACGGUCUCUGUUAGUGGUAUGCAUGCAUUAGAAACACAAUUUGUUUAUGUAAUCUAACUUGCAAUGUGUGUGUGUGGCAUGCAGGGAGGUGGUGAUCAGGUGAAAAACAUAUGCCUGGAAGACCUCUGGCACAAUGGCGAUGUGCAAGCAACGUCCUGUUGCAUUCUACUAAUGAUCGAUGAGCUGAGCUUCUUCCAGUAGUGGUAGCGGAAGUGACGCUAGAGCAGUACAUGGAUCAGCGGAGCAUCAUGUCGUUUGGGCAGGGACAAGCUGGGACGACCCUAAUACAGCAACACUACCAUACCAUUGAUGCUGGACUUUCAUGUUUCUUCGCGAGCAUCAGGACAAAGAAGUCGGAGGAAGCAGAGUUCUAGCUCAUUGGAGCCCUUUAGGCUGAUCCUAUUUGUAUGUGUGUUAUAUGAUGUAGCAGAACUUGUAGGGCUCAUGUGCGAUGAGGACAUCAAUACCAUUAUUACACCCACAGCCGGGGCUGCUAUACAUACUGGACCAAUUACUAGAGCUCGCGCACGCCAAUGUUUAUGAGAAUAUGAUGCUGCCUAAAUUGGAUACAUUUGUUUUGCUUACAAAUGAAGGGCCUAGCUUGGACAAGAAAGAUGAACCUUGGAGCAAGUUCAAGCAUGGAGAUGAUGGCAUGAGCAAGGGGGACAAGAACGGAGUUACAAGUGAUGAUUUCAGGACUUUGAAGCCACCAUAAUGAGUGCAUGAAGCCUUGAAAGAAUUAUACAAGAUGCCUCUUCAUAAAUUUCGUCCAGAGGCUAUUCUAGGUGCUGCGUCACCUUAUUUUUGGGCCUG